CUGCACCCUAGGACACAUUCAAUGAGAGAAGGGCCGCAGCACACUGUGUCUGGUUCCCACACUCCCCCCGUCUGUCCUUGCAGUGCCAAUACAAUACUGACUGCACACACAGGGUACUGCAACAGUGCCUCAGCCUCAUGUCUCAGCUUCUGUUAGUUUGGAAGAUGAGACAGUAGUUCAAGUCACUAGUGCAUAGUGUGAGACAGAGCGAAGGGAGAAGGUACACAGCUUCUCUGAAAUAGGAGACAACUUUUACUACAAAUGAACCUCAUCCUUGGAUUUGGAUGUACAGCUGCUUCCAGUGUCCUGAGGAAACAGAAUUUGUUGUUCAUGACUAUCUGAUAGAUAUUACCUAAGCUGGAAAAAUGUAUCUGAAUGUAUAUCACCCAAAAUCACAAAGAAGAAUGAAUCUGAUAACUCUGCCUAUGCA